UAAUUAGAAAACUAAAUAUAUUAUAAUUCAAGGACUUAUUUGAUAGUUUUGCAUAUAAUGUAGGAUCGAUUUGAUAGUUUUCACAAUAAUUCAGGGACUAAUUUGCUUAUAAUAUUAUCACAUAAAUGUUACAUUCUUUUUCAUUCUCUUUCCAUUGAGGGUAUUACACACUCCUAGUACAAUACAAUAACAUGUUAAAAAAUUCAAACAAGCAAAUUAUGCCUAUCAAAUACUUAAUCAUCUAAGUUCACUUCCUACACAAUCAACUUUGUCCAUCAACCUUGCCCUCCAAACCUAUUCUUUGCCACUUUUCCUAGCCUUAACCAUAGAUUGAACCUUCAUCGUCAAUAUUUCCUUUCUUCUUUGACCAACACAAAUUUCAUUGUUUUUAAAGUAUCCUAGUUCUCCAACUUCAUCAACCUAGACAAAAAAUUCACAAUUAUGGACACAUAACCAUUCAAUAAUCAAAAUGCAUAAUAUUAAACAACAGAUAACCAUUUUUAAACAAACCUUUGGCAAAGUGCAAACAUAGAAAGGCCAUCUUGGUUUUUUAGAGUAUUGGCUUUUCUUACAACACAAAUUAUGGACACCAACAUUCAAGCAUUUUAACAUCACCAAUAAGGUGGAGCUUGAAGAUAAAGCUCGAGUUUGAGAGCUUUGAAAUUGUUUUUGCCCAUACGACCACUACCCAUCAUUUUGUAUUCAAUCUGAACAGGUUUUUUUGAAGAAAUUUUGGGGAUUUUGGAUUGUAAAUGGGAGCGAAAAAAAAUUAGGGUUUGAAUUUUUUAGAAUUGGGGAAGAAAGAGUUGUUAAUUAAUGGAAGAAAUUUUGGACUGUAUAUGAGAGAUUGAAAAAUUAGGGUCCCAAGUUUAUAGAAUUGGGGAAGAAAUAGUCGUUUUUAGAGCUAUCAAAACGGGCCGGGCUAUAUGGGUCGGGCUCGGGUAGUAUAUUUCAAGCCCGUUUUUCAACCGGGUUUUUUUGGCCCGGACCGUCCGUUUUGACAGCUCUAGUCGUUUUACAACCGUAUUGAAGAGGACAAUGUUUUUGUAGAUUUCAAUCAAAUUUGUCCUUUGCAAUGUUUUUGUGGCAUAUGACAUGGCACUCCACGUGAGUGGUUAACGUCCCACGUCAUCACUAUUAACGAACCAAAUUGACGAAGGGACGAUAUUGAUUGACAUUUAUCAAAUUCAGGGAUUAAUUGGCUAUUUCGACAAAUUGGGGGACGAAAUUGAUUGAUCCUGCAAAUUUGAGGACAAAUUUUCCUAUUCACUCGUAUGAAAAGUUAUCAGCUACAUAUAUAU
rnacentral:lncRNA from 1 species